CAUGCACCACCACAUCUGU
rnacentral:misc_RNA from 1 species